CGGUCCAGACUCCUACGGGAGGCAGCAGUAGGGAAUCUUCCGCAAUGGGCGAAAGCCUGACGGAGCAACGCCGCGUGAGUGAUGAAGGUCUUCGGAUCGUAAAACUCUGUUAUUAGGGAAGAACAAAUGUGUAAGUAACUAUGCACGUCUUGACGGUACCUAAUCAGAAAGCCACGGCUAACUACGUGCCAGCAGCCGCGGUAA
rnacentral:rRNA from 1 species